GUGCCGAGUCUUGGUCGUCUCCAUUUCUUUUCCAAUUUCAUUCAAUCUUUUGUUAACCUUUGGAUUAUACAAUUACAGUUGUAUGUAUUUUAGCGAAUAGGUUAGUCUCCAUUGAUCCUGUGUUGUUUCUUUCUGGAUCAAUGGGAGGUGGCGAGGUGAAAGGACUGGUUGAUGCUGAGAAUACGAUAUUCGUGGCUGUGGGAAACAAAGAAAAGGAUAGCAAAUCAGUGAUAGACUGGUCUCUGCGGUCAUUUGCUGGACGAAGAAUCUGUCUUCUUCAUGUUCAUCAGCCAGAUGAUUCAAUCAAUCUCAAAUAUGGGAAGCUUUCAGUGAUCAAGGGAAAAGAACAGGCAUCGGAAGCCUGUCAGGAAUUCGAGCGGAAAAAGAUGGAGAAAGUAUUUGGUCCAUAUCUUAAAAUUCUAGGACAAGCAGGGGUGCAGGCAAGUAGCAUAUGGAUUCAGAUGGAUGCUGUUGAGAAAGGGAUUGUAGAAUCCAUAGCCCAGCAUGAUAUCAGAUGGCUUGUGAUGGGGGCAGCAGCAGAUAAUUAUUAUUCAAAGACUAUGUCAGAGAUAAAGUCUAAGAAAGCAAAUUUUGUCCGUCACCAAGCUCCUCUUUCCUGCCAUAUAUGGUUUAUUUGCAAUCAAAAUCUUAUCUAUACAAGAGCAGGCUUUGUGAAUUCUAGCUCCUAUUUUGAGAGGACAGCAGCAAUCUCUUCUACAACUUGUAGCACCCUACCGAAACUUCGAAAAUAUAAAUCUGAAAUCGUUGAAGAUGUUGAUGAUGUGGAAGGUACAUCAAGGGAUCAGAUUUCUCAGCUUUUGGAUUAUUCAAGCACGUCAAAAAACAAAGGGGUUAGUACAGUGGAUUUAGUGUCUGAUGGAGAAACGACUUCGGAACUAGGUGAAAAACUAGAAUUUACUGUACUAGAUGUGGAAAGCUCAAGACAGAAAGCAUUUGAAGAGUCUGUGAAGCGGUGGAAAGCUGAAGAAGAUGCCCAAGAGGCUACACAAAUGGCUGAAGCACUGGAAACAUCACUGAUGAAUGAGAAAAGGCAAAUAAAGGACUUGGAGGAAGAGUUAGCUCAACAAAGCCAAGAAUUAAAAAGAAUAAAGAAUCAGCUUGAUCUGUUGAAGAAGGAGCUUCCAGUCUUGCAGGAAGAGAAUCCAAUACUGGAGGACAACCUUAGGGAAUGUCAAUCUGAAGAGAAGGUAUUAACGGAGAAGAUCAUUCAGGCUGUUAAUCUCAUGGUAAUCUUCAAAGAAAAUCGGGACAAGCUGCAGAUUGAACGUGAUAAAGCUACUGGAGCUAUCCAUAGUUUUAGAAGGCUUAGCUUGAUAGAGGGAUCUGUGUUCUCUUUCCUGGAGAUUAAUGAGGCGACACAUGAGUUUGAUCCAUCCUGGAAAGUUGGAGAUGGGAAAUAUGGAAGUGUUUAUAAGGGGCUUCUUGACCAUCGCAAAGUUUCCAUAAAGAUGCUACCGUCUUCUGGCUCUCAAAGCAAUUUGGAUUUUGAAAACGAGGCAAGGUUUAUCAGCAGUGUUAGGCAUCCAAAUCUUGUGACACUCAUUGGAACUAGCUCAGAGUGUAGGUCACUCGUCUAUGAGUAUCUUGACAAAGGCAACCUUGAAGAUCGACUUGCCUGCCAAGGAAAAUCUCCACCUCUUUCAUGGAAAAUUCGAAUGAAGAUUGCUCGUGAGAUUUGCAUGGUCCUUGCCUUUCUCCACUCCAGCAGGCCUCCUAUCAUUCAUGGGAAUCUAAAACCUAGUAAUAUACUACUCGAUUCCAAUUUUGUCAGCAAAAUUAGUGACUUGGGUAUCCGUCGGCUGAUUCCUCGAGAUGGUAAUCAAGCUUGUGUAACAACAGUACUGCACAAAACUGAUUCUGCUUAUAUGCCCCAAGAAUUUCUAGAGACUGGAGAAGUUACCACACACUGUGAUAUAUAUGCAUUUGGGAUUAUACUCUUACAGCUUUUAACCAAAAGAACAGUGGACAAGCUACUGAAUGAUGCAAAGUGCGCAAUGGAAGCAGAUAAUUUUGAGGCACUAUUGGAUUUUUCUGCUGGAGAUUGGCCAGUAAAGCAAGCAAAAGAAUUAGCUCAAUUGGCUUUGAGAUGUUGCGAGAAGGAAUGUGAGCAUCAACCAGCCCUUGUUUUGGACAUACUUUCUUUGCUUGAACCAAUGAAUAAUUUGUGCGAGUCAUCACGCAUGGAAGUGGAAUCCAAAGAAACGCAGAAGAAAGCUCCUUCCUACUUUAUCUGUCCAAUUUUCCAGGAAGUUAUGGAAGAUCCCCAUAUAGCAGCAGACGGAUACACAUACGAAGGGGAUGCUAUCAAGGGAUGGUUCAAUAGUAACCAUAAGACUUCCCCAAUGACAAACCUGGAACUUGAACAUUGCAAUCUCCUUUCCAAUUCCGCCCUUUACGAAGCAAUUCAACAAUGGAAGCAACAACCAUGAUCCGGAAACUUCUAAACAUCAUCAUCAUCAUCUCAAUACACUCCAAAUGCUUCAUACAAGCAUGUUCCAAUUGUGUAUCAAAUCAUACACACACAGCUCCUAUCUCUAAACCACAUCUUGCAUUGGCAUUAUUACAUUACUAUGGGAUUGUUUGAAAGUGAUUAUGAACAGAGGAAUAGAGAAAAAGGCCUUCAGCUUGUA